UGCAGUGAACGCAGGCGCAGGCUCUGGAGUGAGAAAUUGUGGGUUUUCAUCUCCUUGCAUCUAUGUUGUGGGGCUUUGACCAAGAAAUGGGCUUCCUGGAUCAGAGGCCGAAUUUCCGAGCAGGAUAGACCAGGGGGCUCGAACUAAUAAUUCUGAGGGGUCAGAAAGGCCUCUCAGAACGCGCCGCGAUUUGAAACCUGCAAACGCGGGGUUCAGGUCCACUAAGACCGAGAGAGAGAGAGAAGUCGACUCUGGCGCACCCGGGCGAGGGGCUGCCGGGAUUCGGGAGCUGGCGCGGUUGAUUUUUUCCGAGAAUCCUCCACUUGUGGUGACGUCGGGCAGUGCGCGCGGGCCGUGAGGUUAAUGCCCAGGCUUUUCUCUAAAGCGUCCGGGAAUGAUCUGGCCAAUAAAACGGGUGUCUGCAAAGUUAA